UACGUAGGGGGCUAGCGUUGUCCGGAAUCAUUGGGCGUAAAGAGCGUGUAGGCGGUCCGGUAAGUCCGCUGUGAAAGUCGGGGGCUCAACCCUCGAAUGCCGGUGGAUACUGUCGGGCUAGAGUGCGGAAGAGGCGAGUGGAAUUCCUGGUGUAGCGGUGAAAUGCGCAGAUAUCAGGAGGAACACCUAUUGCGAAGGCGGGUCUCUGGACAGUUCCUGACGCUGAGGCACGAAGGCCAGGGGAGCAAACGGG
rnacentral:rRNA from 1 species